rnacentral:rRNA from 1 species
GUGCGAGCAGCCGCGGUAACACGUAGGGGGCAAGCGUUGUCCGGAAUGAUUGGGCGUAAAGGGCGCGCAGGCGGCCUCUUAAGUCUGAUGUGAAAGCCCACGGCUCAACCGUGGAGGGACAUUGGAAACUGGGGGGCUUGAGUGCAGGAGAGGGGAGUGGAAUUCCACGUGUAGCGGUGAAAUGCGUAGAGAUGUGGAGGAACACCAGUGGCGAAGGCGGCUCUCUGGCCUGUGACUGACGCUGAGGCGCGAAAGCGUGGGGAGCGAACAGGAUUAGAUACCCUGGUAGUCCACGCCGUAAACGAUGAGUGCUAGGUGUUAGGGGGGAGCACCCCUUAGUGCUGAAGUCAACACAUUAAGCACUCCGCCUGGGGAGUACGACCGCAAGGUUGAAACUCAAAGGAAUUGACGGGGGCCCGCACAAGCAGUGGAGCAUGUGGUUUAAUUCGAAGCAACGCGAAGAACCUUACCAGGUCUUGACAUCCCUCUGACGGGUUCAGAGAUGGACCGUUCCUUCGGGACAGAGGAGACAGGUGGUGCAUGGUUGUCGUCAGCUCGUGUCGUGAGAUGUUGGGUUAAGUCCCGCAACGAGCGCAACCCUUGACCUUUGUUGCCAGCAUUAAGUUGGGCACUCAGAGGUGACUGCCGGUGACAAACCGGAGGAAGGUGGGGAUGACGUCAAAUCAUCAUGCCCCUGAUGACCUGGGCGACACACGUGCCACAAUGGGCGGUACAGAGGGCAGCGAAGCCGCGAGGCGGAGCGAAUCCCAGAAGGCCGCUCUCAGUUCGGAUUGCAGGCUGCAACUCGCCUGCAUGAAGGAGGAAUUGCUAGUAAUCGCGGAUCAGCAUGCCGCGGUGAGUCCGUUCCCGGGCCUUGCACACACCGCCCGUC